rnacentral:rRNA from 1 species
GACGAACGCUGGCGGCGUGCCUAAUACAUGCAAGUUGAGCGAUGAAGAUUGGUGCUUGCACCAAUUUGAAGAGCAGCGAACGGGUGAGUAACGCGUGGGGAAUCUGCCUUUGAGCGGGGGACAACAUUUGGAAACGAAUGCUAAUACCGCAUAACAACUUUAAACAUAAGUUUUAAGUUUGAAAGAUGCAAUUGCAUCACUCAAAGAUGAUCCCGCGUUGUAUUAGCUAGUUGGUGAGGUAAAGGCUCACCAAGGCGAUGAUACAUAGCCGACCUGAGAGGGUGAUCGGCCACAUUGGGACUGAGACACGGCCCAAACGCCUACGGGAGGCAGCAGUAGGGAAGCUUCGGCAAUAGACGAAAGUCUGACCGAGCAACGCCGCGUGAGUGAAGAAGGUUUUCGGAUCGUAAAACUCUGUUGGUAGAGAAGAACGUUGGUGAGAGUGGAAAGCUCAUCAAGUGACGGUAACUACCCAGAAAGGGACGGCUAACUACGUG